AUGAAGGAGAUAUUUGAGAUAACCGAAGUGCUUGGCCAAGCUUUACAGAAGAAGUCACAAGAUAUUGUGAAUGCUGUUCGUUUAGUCUCCUCAUCUAAAGAGUGUCUCCAACAACUAAGAUCAGAUGAUGGCUACCAAGAAUUUAUUAUCACAGUUGUUGAGUUCUGUACAAACCACUCCAUUGUCAUUCCAGACUUUGAGGAAGCUUACAUCAUGCGUGGUGGCCGUGCCCGCCAUCAACCCAAUCAGCUGACCAAGGAGCAUUACUUUCGAGUCGAAAUAUUCUAUGCAACACUGGACACUCAACUAUUUGAACUAAAUCAUAGGUUCAAUGAGAAGGUAAUGGAUCUUCUAACCACUAGUGCCACCUUGAUUCCUAGAAACAAAUUUAGAGGAUUUAAAGCUAGUGAUAUAUGUGACAUGGUGAAAACGUACUACCCAGCAGACUUCCCCCAACAAGAUAUCUAUGGAUUACAACUACAACUAAAACAUUUUGUUUUGGAUGCUUCCAAGGAUGAAUAUAUGAGAAAUAUAUCAAACUUGAUUGAUCUUUGUCGAUGCCUUGUGGAGUCAGGAAGACAUGUUGUCUUCAAUUUGAUUGAAAGAUUACUCCGUUUGCUCAUUACCCUUCCAGUUUCUAUGGCGAGUGCUGAGCGUGCAUUUUCCAGUAUGAAGAUCAUUAAAACAAGGUGGCGCAAUACAAUGGAGGAUGACUUUCUUGCCAAUAACUUGUUGGUUAACAUAGAGGGUGAACUUCUGGAGAAGUACAGCUAUGAAGAUAUCAUUGAAGAUUUCAAAUGA
rnacentral:rRNA from 1 species